UGCACCAGGAGGGAGCCCCUGCAUCUCGUCGUGGGUCUCUAGUUUCACUUCCUGGUGGUGAUGUUCCUGUAGAAGGCGAGUAUGUCCAGGCUGCUGCUCUAGUAAGUCAGCCUGCUCUUUAUUCCAAGAAGCUUCUGGAUCAGCAUGCAGUUGGACCGGCAAUGGUUCACCCAGCUGAAACUGCCAAAAAGGGACCUGUUUGGGCUGCUUUACUUGAUCCGGGAGUUAAGCGGGCAUUGGUUGUUGGGAUUGGAAUUCAAAUUCUUCAG
rnacentral:misc_RNA from 1 species